AUUGAACGCUGGCGGCAGGCCUAACACAUGCAAGUCGAGCGGAUGAAGGGAGCUUGCUCCUGGAUUCAGCGGCGGACGGGUGAGUAAUGCCUAGGAAUCUGCCUGGUAGUGGGGGAUAACGUCCGGAAACGGGCGCUAAUACCGCAUACGUCCUGAGGGAGAAAGUGGGGGAUCUUCGGACCUCACGCUAUCAGAUGAGCCUAGGUCGGAUUAGCUAGUUGGUGGGGUAAAGGCCUACCAAGGCGACGAUCCGUAACUGGUCUGAGAGGAUGAUCAGUCACACUGGAACUGAGACACGGUCCAGACUCCUAAGGGAGGCAGCAGUGGGGAAUAUUGGACAAUGGGCGAAAACCUGAUCCAGCCAUGCCGCGUGUGUGAAGAAGGUCUUCGGAUUGUAAAGCACUUUAAGUUGGGAGGAAGGGCAGUAAGUUAAUACCUUGCUGUUUUGACGUUACCAACAGAAUAAGCACCGGCUAACUUCGUG
rnacentral:rRNA from 1 species